rnacentral:rRNA from 1 species
UACGUAGGGGGCGAGCGUUGUCCGGAAUCAUUGGGCGUAAAGAGCGUGUAGGCGGCUUGGCAAGUCUGACGUGAAAGCCCGCGGCUCAACCGCGGAUUGUCGUUGGAAACUGCCUCGCUAGAGUCCGGAAGAGGAGAGCGGAAUUCCUGGUGUAGCGGUGGAAUGCGCAGAUAUCAGGAAGAACACCCGUGGCGAAGGCGGACUCCUCGUGGGACGGUACUGACGCUGAGACGCGAAAGCGUGGGGAGCGAACAGGAUUA